rnacentral:lncRNA from 1 species
UUUUUUUUUUUUUUUUUUUUGGGUUUUAGUUUACCUUGAUGAUGCAUGAUUGAAGAAUCCAAGAUGAAACUACAGUUGAAAAUGGAGCUGAAACUUUUGCUUUUCUUGAUGUACUUCCAGAUUUUGAUGAUGAUGGCGCUUUUAUAUUUUUUCAGUUUAUCUAUGCGAAUGCGACCUUGAGCCUUGGGGAGAUAUACUUGGAGCAUAAGAUAUUUUUGUUUAGUCAAAGUCACACUUUCUUAGUAAAACAUAAAACUUAUUUCUUCUUCUUCUUUUGACCUUUUGCUAGUAUUUGAAAUUCAUUUAUUCCUUCAUAUUUCAAGGAACAAAAAUAUACUCAACCAUUUAAUCUAACAAUCUCCCUUAUGCUUAAAAAUAUUUUUUCCCUAAUGAUCACUCGUUAGUACAUCUAAUGCCGUCAAACCAAUUUUAAAUAGAGAAAUACACCAUUUUUCAUCGUGUUUCUAUUUUUUUUUUAUAAAAAUUUUCUAAUUCGGUGUCUAGUGAAGUAUUAUUAAACAAAAAUUAUACUAACUUGUCAUGUGAAUACAUAUAUCCAGAAUUUAUUACAGUCUCCACAUUUAAAUACUUUUUUGUCAAAUUAAUUUUACUUUUAUAAAAAAAAAUACCACUAUGAAAAAAUGUCCAUUUGGCACCCAUUGAUCAGAAACAGAGAUAAAAUAAAAGGAAGGAAUCAUCAAAAAGAGUGAUGUUGAGUGUAAUUUACUCUUUCACUUUGAUUCCAGAAAUCAAUUUUUGUGCAAAUGAAAUUUCUUCAAAAAAAAAAAAAAACCAUCUUUCUAAGAGCAUCUCCAACGCAAGUGUAAUGUCUGACAUUACACCAGGGGUAUUAUACGACCACCCAUUACACGCGUAAUAUCCAUUACACGCGUGGCUGUGUAAUACCCAUUACACGCGUCAUGCUGAUGAUGCGUAUAAUAGGUGGCCUUCACUACAAAAUUUAAGAGCCUGACUCUAAUUUUGGCCAGCAACGUUCAUUUUGUUAUUAUUUGUAUUUUAUUUGAUUUAAAUUAUGUAAUAUUAUGUUAUGGAGUUCAACUAAUUACAUUCUGAAUUAUUAAUUAAGUAUGGAUUAUUAUGAUAUCUUCGCAUUUGAGGUAUCAAAUAUUUGUUUAAUUUUCUGCAUAAUUAUUUUUGAAAAAAUAACAAUAUAUUAUUUUUGAGAGAUAGAAAAAGAUAUAUUAUUCAAACUUAAAAAUUAAUAAUAUCAUUUUUAGAAAAUAAAAAAUUCAAAAGGUAAAAAAUUUAAUGAAAGUUAGUACUUUAUUUUUUAAAAAUAACAAAAUUAUUUUUAAAAAUUACUUUAUUUAUUUAUGGGAUAUGCGUUGUGCAGUACUAAAAUAAAUAUUUGAUUUAAUUGUGAAUCCAUGCUAUUACAUCUUGUGGAGUGUAAUCGAUUGUGAGUGAAAGUGUAAUAAAAUAGGAGAAAAUGGAAUGCUGACGUGGUACGUGGAUUAUACUCUUUAGAGUAUAAAUCAUUGUGGAUGCCCUAAGUUACAUGGAAAUUGAUUGUAUUAAGUUUAUAUAUAAUAACUUAGUGAAUCUGGAGGUGAUUUCCUUUGGGUAGUGGGGGUAUUUUCUAGAUGAUUGAUUAAAUUAAACCAAGUUGGGUGGGAGCCAGAAUGAUGAUAAUUGAUAAUGCUGCACUAACCAUGCUGUCUUUCCCCCUUUUGUAAUCAAUCUUUAGAUAAACAAUUUAAAGGUACUUGACUUGCUCCUUUAAACGUGCUAUGAAUAUAUUUUUCCAUAAACUAUGACUAAUUGUUUAAGUCAAGGAGACUUUUUUUUUUUUUUUUUGAAAAUUUGAAAACCGUUUCUUGCUUAUUAUGAUGCAAUACAAACAUUUAUUCAUGAUCAAUAUCACCUUUUAGCAUUGCCUGAUCCAAAGAAAAUGUUGCUUUGUCAGAAGAGAAGAGAAAAGGAGAAAAAACUUUUACUUUUUCGAAAAAUAGACACUUUGAGUCUUGUUAAUGAGGACUCGUUACAAAUACACAAAAAUAUGUUCUAAAUUUAUUGUUCCUUAGCCAAAAUGGCAAAAGAGAGUAGUAUAUGUAAAUCCUUUCAGGAUUAAUGGGCCAAUCAAUUAUUGCUCUCAUUUAUUUCCGAGGCAAUUUGUUGCCUCCACUAUAAGGGUCAAGAGCGUAUCCAUGCAUGAAUUUGCAUGAAUUUGAUGGGACCAUGUGUCAAUACCUUUCUUCUUCUAUAGUUUCGAUGCAUAAAAAGCACCGUAUGGAUUCCUUGAAAAAGAAAAGAAAAAGCACCGUAUGGAAAUGUGACAAAGUAAUGGAAAUUGGAGUUUGCCAGAUCCAAGCAUGUGAGAAACUACCUCUAGUCUUUCCUUAUUUGGUACAAAGAGAACCUUUCCUUUCCUUUUUGACCAUAACCAACAUUGAACAAAUUUUCAUGUUUAUAAUUUUAUCCAUACUAGUGUUUUCCCGUGCCAUGCACGAGAUUAUAUUUCAAAUCAAAAUAAUAUUGUAUAUAUUUAUAUAUUAUGGUACAGAAUAAUAAAUAUAUAUACUAAAAAUUUUAAAGAAGUGAUGUUUAAUAUUUUGAAUAAAAAUUAAUCUAUAAUAAUUUACAUGAUAAAAGAAUUGUUAACGCAUUUAAGGAGAGGGUUAGGUUGGGUGGUAAUAUGAGAAGAGUUUUCUAAAAAAAAGUCAAUUUAUCAAAUAUCUGACAAAACAUAUUAUGUUAUACUCAUAUAUCAAUACUUAUAAUAUAAAAAAAAUAAAUUAUAAUCAAUUUAUUUUCUUCCAUUUUUAGAAAAAAAAUCUUUCUCCUAUCUUGUGCCCCUAUAAUUGUUGAAUGCAUUUAGAUUAGCAUUUUUCAUAAACUUUAACGUAUAUUUUAAAAAAAAUCUCCGUAAUAUGUAUUUUUAGAAUUCUCAAAAUUAUUAAAAAUCACCAUCAUUUCUCUCUUCCCUUAUCCGACACCUAGUCAUCAGAUGCCUCCUGCGACUUUUAUCUCUUUUAUUAUGGUAUCACUCUCUCUAUUAUUAUUUUUUUGUCAUCUCGGUCAUAUUCCUACAAUCCCAUUUAUUCUUCUCUCCCUUCUCUGCCCAUCCUUGUAACCCAUAUUUCUUUUUCAACCUUUCCUGCCACUUUUCAACUUCUCACAAUUUUCUUCCCUCCAUCCUCCCCCAUACCUAACUUCUAAAUUCAUAUUCCUACAACCCAAUAUAUUUAACUUUACCUAUCAGAAUGAAAAUAUAAAUUUGAAAAUUGAUUACAAUGGUUGCAAUUAUUAGUAUCUAAUAAUGGGAAUGAAAAACUAAUAAUAUCUAUAAUAUACUCAAGUACUACAAUCAAGAUAUAUAUAUAUAUAUAUAUAUAUAUUUAACAUAGCAAAUACAUAUUUACAUAUGAAGACAGCAAUAAGAAUACAUAAAUAAUUAAUGAUAUCAAAAGUUAUCCUUAAUGUUUGGGUUUUGCACUCUUAUUCAAAUCUAAUGUCAAAUUUGGGCCAGAUAUAUACAAAUUAAGUAGUAUUUUAGGGUUGAAUGUUCUAUAUCUUUCUCUUAAACUGUAAUGUUACUUUUUUAAAAAAUUUUUGGUAGAAUUGGUGUUGUUAUUAUCAUUAUUAUUUUUUAUCAAAAAUGAAUAUUAAAAAAAAAUUUCCACGUUAAAAGGCUAGUAGUACUUUGUUUUUUAUUUAGUGAUUUCAUAAUUUGGAUUUCACGAAUGGUACCAUUCUUGAUUUUUCAAAUCCACGACAUUAUUUCAUGAAUAUUUUUUAUUUAAUUUUACCCUUUUACUUAGGAUUACUAAGUUAAAAGAUAAAAUGUUGUCAUUUACUUUUUUAAUUUUAUUAAGUUUGGCCAUGCUUUCUUUUUAUUUACCCUCCUACUAAUAAACUUUAAACCAAAUUUUUAUAUAAGUGGAGUCACUACUUUUUUAAAUUAGAAAAGCAUGGAAGCCACUUCUUACUUAAGAAAAUAUUAUUUGCACUCCAUUUUUUAUUAUUUGCAAUUCCACUAUUUGUUUUAUCAUAUAGUAUAAUUAAUGAAAAUUAUAUAACCAAAAUGACUAUUGAAGUGUGAAUAACAAAAAUGGAGUGUAAAUAAUCUUACUUAUUUAAAUUAAUAAGAAAGCAUAAAAAGAUGUUAUAUUUGUUAUCUUUUUUAUGGUUUUAUAGAAGUUUUAAUUGUUAUAGAAUCAUAAAUACCGCAAGACAAUUGAAAACGUGAUGGGUUGGAGUUCAAAUAGGAUAACAUGCAUAUUAACCAACAAUUUGAAAUGAAAUAAUUUUAAAAGGUAACUAACAAUUUCAAAUGUGAAGAGUAGAUGUGGAAGUUGAGAGGAAUAUAUUUUAUAAAUUAAAUUAAAUGUGAAAUGCUAGAAAAAUGGAAUUGGUAGUGGGAAGAUGCGUGAAGGCUUGUUGCUAAAAAUCUCUUCUCAAAUUUAUAUAGAUAUAGAUGUUUAUGCACAAUUUCAGUCUGAAAAGUUGUUUAAGCAAUUUAGGAAAAGAACAAGAACCCUCAUUAAUAUUGCUAAGUAUCGCAAUUCUUUCUAAUUAAAAGAAAAGAAAAAUGUGAUUAUAAGUUUGGCAUGUCAAUGUGAUAAUGCUAUAUGACUAGUUCUCUCUCUCUCUUUUUUUUUUUUUAAGAAAAAAAGAAAAAUAAAGGAAAAUCCCUAUGGUAUUACUAUUAAUGGUUCCUGUUUGACAAAAGCAAAUUGCAUUAUUUUUGUUAUAGUGGAUAUAAAAUUUUAAAGACCUUCAAAAUCUGCAUGGAGCUUCUCAACACACCAAAAGCUGUUUGGCAUGCACGUCAAUUCAUUAUUGACUAUCAAAAUUAGAUUCUUUUCUUAUGUUUGUCUAAGAGAACUGGUCAUCGAAAAUGUUCUUUGUAUUAUAAAGAUGCAUAGAUUUAUUUAAGUAGCAAUGAAGAAAAAUUGUCGCUUUUCUUACACACAUAAAGUCCAACAAGGCCUAUAUUCCGAAUGAGUGAAAAUUUACAGUUUCUUACAUACAUAAAAUUCCAACAGGCCCCAUAUUGUUAUUGAAUAUUGAUUACUAUUUACAUCAAUAUCUCUACGAUAAUAAAGCGAGGGCACGUGAUUUGGUGUAAACAAUAUGUCGUCACUUUUUAUAAUUUCUUUCCUAUCCUUCAAAUAAUUUCUCAUUUCAACUCAACCACCGAAUACACGUUUAACAUAACAAUUGCUUGUUUUUUUAUGAUUUUUUUGUAUUAAAUUUUUUAAUUUACCACUAGAUUUUGUUGUCAAAUAAUGAAUCUACAUUCAUUAGUUUAACGGAAUUUUUUUUAACACUUGCACACACUUCGAGGAUGCAUCGAUCACUAGUAAUUAUAAUUCCCGCAAGUAAAAGGAUUUCUAUCAGCUUUUCACUUGAGGUAAGUGAUUUACAUUUUUGGACAAAACAAAAAUUAUUUGAGCCUGACAAAUUAUGUUCUGAAAAGGGGCUACUGGACGGAGAAAGAACAAAGUUCUAUCUCGUGAAUUGCUGUAAUGGGAGCAUGAAAGUGGCUUUAUAAUGCUAGUCCUCUUAAUGCAUGGAUCCCAGGCGGCAGCGAUGAAUCCUCAACCGCGAGCAGCAUAAAAGAAUUUUGCUUUAAGUACUAAUCCUUCCAAGACUAUUUCUGUAGGAGAAUCCUCAUGGUUUCUUUCCAGGACCCAAAUUGACAGGACAAGAUUCCAGCACUAUUAAGUGAAUUUGGUUGUCAAAUCCACUUUAGAGUCUUAUCCUUUGCCUAGUCCAUUCAAAACAGCAAAGUAGAUUCUGGGCCAAAUUUGACGCCACCCUAACAGAAGGGCCACAACAAAUGCAUUAUCUGCAACUUUUCAUGUCUUCAAAAACCAAGGUAGAUUUAGUAGGUGAAUUCGGUGUGGGUGAAGUCCACAAAGAAUGGACUCUACGGGUUGGAUUGCCAUUUUUCUUCAAAAAAUUUUUAGGUUUCCGUAAACAUAUUUUCUAACCACUCUUUUACUGCAUAUACAUCAUAUUGCUACAGUACAUUUUUCUAUAAAAGCUCCAGAAAACAAGCGUCAUACUUCAAUACUUUCCUUUGAUAAAAAGGAAGACAUCAUCAAGUCCUGUAACAUCAUUUGAAGUCAAGUUGUUUUAUUCUUGUUAAAAGCAAUGGACCAACACAUCAACAAAGGUGGAGAUAUGGAUGCUGUUAAUUUCCAGUUGUCAUCCACACACAUAGUUCCAGAUGGAGAUUCUUUUGCUCAGGCAAUUGAUAGUGAAUAUUUUCCUAGGCCUUAGUAGUUAAAUGGUAUACCCUAUGCCCAGACCAGAACAACAUUCUUGUGGCUUUGUUCUAAUAUCAGAUAUUUUGAUCUGGAUGUGUGUUAGUCCAACCUUUCACAUAAUUACACAAGAAAUGAGGCAUUAAUGUGAACCAGUAUUUUGUCAGUCUGAAAACCAUUUUUAAGACUAGGCGACCUUGGAAGCCAAGCAAUUGGUUAAAAUUUCCCACUACUGAUUCUAGUUUUCAAACAGGAUCCAAACUAGUUUUCUAUGUACAAUAACUACAUGCUUGUUCUGCUAUUCUCAGCUUACCCCAAGGGUGCUUUUAUUCAGAAUUCGCACUUUCUCAGCUCAAGUUAAAACAGAUGUCAAACCAACAACGAAUACCGAAAAACUUGCCUUAAUUAACCAAAUCAGAAAACUUGCGCAAGAAACCCACUGUAGCUUGGUGAUGCUAUGCUACUGGUCUUAAGUGUAGAAUUUAGAAGCCUGAUUUGAUUCUCUGUCUCAAUUUCGUUUCCAAAUCCUCCGUUGAUGGAAUCUUCCCACCAUUCCUCAAAGUUCUGGACCACCAGACCUUUAGUUCAUCCUGUUACGCGAGCACGUAGAAAACAAUUGGUCUCAACACAGAGAUAGAUUCAAGAAAUCUACCAUUAACAACUAAACAGAAAAUUCAAAUGGAAAUGAAAACCCAAAUAGUACCAAGCAUCAGAUACCAAAUACAAAAGUGUUAAAUAUUUACACCACCACAGCCGAAAUAACAUUUAGCUCACAUUUUACUGCAUUAUCUGGGAUAAUUGCAGAAGAGAAGUAGAGAAACACCUUAAUUUUAUUUAAACCAUGUAAAAUCAGUUAGCAUACUGAAUGAAAGUCAUAACUGUAAUGGUGGCUUAGAUGCUUUUGAACACAAAUAUAGAGGGAAUUUACCUCUAAGAAGUCCUGAUUGGACACAUACUGACUCCCAACCGAGCAUUUAAUACCUCCAACACUCACAGAAAUGGAAGUUUUAGAAUCUUUCACUGGUUCCCCUGCUUGCUCCACCGUUAAUACACAUGCCAAAGACAAGAAAGGGAAAGUGGUAAAGUACAUAAGAUAAAUAAGUACCAUCAGUGCUUAUAAGCAAUAAAUGGUUUCCAAAAGUAGCAUCCUGAAACAGAUUUCCCAAAAUGCAGUUUCACAUAUGGCAUACCUGUAAUACAAGCAACAUAGUAGCCAGUUCCACCUAAUCCUGCUUCCCAUUUACCCAGUCGCAAGCGCAGGAAAAGACCUUCCAAAUGUAACAGUGAGACAUCGGAGUUUAUCCAUCUGAAGCCAAAUGAAUGUUGGUAAGAGGAAUGCAUUCGCCAGGUAACAUAAAGAACAACAAUGUAUUUUCCUACGGUAACUGAGGGGCCAAUUAAAAAGAUGUGCAUAAAACCAGGGUUGGCCCAGUACCUUAGGGGAGCUCCAAGUAUCUCUUUGUUUAGGUUAUUGAAAAUGUUUUUUUUUCUCCUCUACAUCUGUUUGCAUGUUUAAUUUUAUGUGCCAGGCUGUAGUGCUGAAAGGGCCUUGAGGACAUAACAUACAUCAUCAGCUUAAAUCAUCCCAAGUCAUGAUCUUGAGAUGGCAUGGGACAUUGCAUGAUGUAGUGUAAACUUUAUGCCCUGUCCAAGUUGAAGUGGCAUGGGAAGAAUGCAUUCUGUAAACUUAUGCACAUGACAAGAACAAAAAUCCAUGGCAAGUUCUAGCCAACAGAGUAAUAUUUGACAAAUUUAUUAGCAGGCAGGUUUUCCAUGCUUUGCUUACUUGAGUAUAUCUGCACGAGAUAACUGAAGCCGCCUCACGGCAUCAAAAAUAACUUUUGGUACUUCUUCAAUCCGCUCGCUAACCAAAUUAGAUAAAGGCAGAUUCUGAUGCUCUAUCAGUUUCUUCUUCCCAGAAUUUGAAGUUUUCCGUUUCUCAGUUUCAUCUGAACCCAAAUUAUUGCCAGAAAACUCCUCUGGAUUGAACACCAGGUUUCUGAGGCCAGUGUUCAUAGAAGGUUCUUCUCCACUGCAUAGACCAACUUUAAGAUGGUCUCCCUUGUCAAGAAAGCACGCCUUUCUUUGAUUGCCUGAAAACAAAAUUGGUUUACUAACAUUCUGACACUUAACAAAGGACAUCUUAUUCUCCAAUUGAUGUUGCCUAUUUGAAGUCACUACCGGACAGGUAAUGGCCCAAUGAUCAAUCUGAAAACAUCUAAUGCACAAACAUGGUGAAUCUUCAGGCCAAUUACAACUGCUCAUAUUUAUCAGAAGAUCCUCAAGCUCGGAUUCCAUUACCUCUGAACAGUCUUGUAAAUUAUGGCCACUUUUACCACAGUAAAAACAAGUUGCUGCAGUGAAAUUUGCAUCUUUUUUAGCCUCUGAAGGUAUGAUGUGUUUGAGGGCGUCCACUCUCCUAGCAAAUGUAGAGGCCAUUGCUUCUGAACUCUCGGGUCCUUGGGAAGGUAAAGUAGAUUGAAUUUUAAGCACAGAAUUUGAAUGCUUACGUUCAUGUAUCUCCUUAAAGCCAAGAGAAAACUCAGCACUGGCAGCAAAUGUCUCCAAAUUCUUAACCAAAUCACCUGAAUUCCCAUUUACCCUGGUAUCUGAAUGCUUUUCCUCGAUGGGAAAACUCAGACUUUUCUGAUUUUGAGUGUUGGGCCUUUCACAGUCACCUAGACCAUCAAUGGCCAGACAAUUAUCUCUUUUGGAGUGGUUUAAGUUCAAUGGAAUGCUAUUUGUUUUGGUUGAAAACCGGGUGAUCCAUAAGCUACCUAAAAGAUUGUUUUUGUUAGACAAGUCAUAUGUUUCUCUACCAUCAGAUGCAACUUGGGUGUUCGCAUUCUCAGCAGCAGUCAUCUUGUGAUGACCUAGAGAAUUGGAUGAACUUAUCCCAGUGUUACCUUUACAAAAUUCUUGGUUACUUGGAGCUUUAUCCUCUGCAGAGUCGGUGCUGAAUUCAUUUUUAAUGGGAAUUGCAGAUAAAUUCCAAGCUUGAUCAGACUGACUGACUACACAUUCAGUUGAGGAUGGGAGGAUCUUUUCAUCUGCCAUAAAAAUGUGACCCAAAGACACCCGAUUCUGUACAGAGGAGUUGAUCGAAGAACGUUGAACAUUAAUUUUGUCAGCCUGCACAAGAUUCUGCAAUCUUUCUACUGAAGAAUCAUCUCUUGAUACUUGAGUUUCUAUUAGCUUCACACCGGAACGGUACAGGGACCUAAAUAUAGUUUGGAAACCCAUAUUUUUGCUUACAGACUCUUGAUGUUCUCUACAUAUCAUGGUUUCAUGAAGAAUAUCUGUCUGUUCACGACUCGAAUGUGCAUGGGUGAGACCAAGAGAUGGAACUUCUUCAUGAUUAGAUUUAGAGAACCCGUUCACCAUGUUUGAUAUCCAGUUCAUGAAAGAUCUAUCAUGUUUGAUUAAAGAUGUUGAUUCUGGACAUCCAUCUGUCUGCUGCUUGACUCUUUUGCUCUCACAAAUUAACUGUUGAUCAAACUUCCAUCUUCUCUUGCCAAGUAAUCCAGUGCUGGUACAGCUUUCCACACUCUCUUGGCUGUCAUCUAGAUUAUUUGAGAAUCUUCCACCGAUAUUGCUAUCAGAUAAAGCUUUCUCUUUGCCUUUCAGUGGACAUGGUUGCUUGCUUCCAUCGCCUGGAGAAGUUUCAAGUGGAAGAGAGCAGCCCCUGAGAAGUCUCUCUUCAUUCUGCUGAUAUGCAUCUUUUGUCAUUGGAUGCUGCAGAUCAUUUUCAGCUGUGUGUUCUAGCUUCUGCAAAAUAGGCACCAUAGACCCAUGUAUCUUGCUCUUGUUUUUUCGCUCUUCUUCAAAAGCCCCCUUCACUUCCUUGUUAGGUUCGUCAAGAUACAUUGAUAUCUGUGGUGGGGUAAUCUGUGCUUCAGAUACUGUUUCCCUGUGAACUUCAGCAGCUGUAGUCACUUCUUCAAGGAACUGCCCACCAUUAACAGCCUUGCUAACAAUAGGAUUAAAAUCAUUCGAAAUUCCCAUAUUAAGAUCCCCAGAUAAGGCUUUGGUUCUUGCCAUGUCAAUAUUGGAACCAAUAGGACCUUGCAAAAAAUGAUUUGGCAUUAGCAGAACUUCAGAACUAUUCCCAACAACAAAAGGUACCAAAAGUGAGAGGAAACAAAUAAAGAAAACUAUUAAGGAGUGCAUUUCUUUAAUUAUAUUUGUAUGAGUUAAGAUAUAAAAAAUAAUUCAAGCAAUUAGCAUUACAUUAUUUCCUUAAAUUCAUGAAUUACUCAGAACAUUUCGAUAUGUAUACCUGUAUUCUCUUGACUUCUUUCAGCCAUAAUAGCAAUUCGCUCAUUGCAUGGAUCACAUGAUUCUUUAUCAUUCUCAUCAAGAUAGCCAGCAUUUUCACCUCUUUCUUUAACUAAAAUGUCUUUCUCAAUUUUCUCUUCAUCCAUUUCAUCUCUGCUCUCUGUCGAUUGACUCUUAGUCAGUUCCUUAGAAACAACCUCUAUAUGGAUAAUGAAAAUAAAAAAGGAAGAAAAGAAAAUUGAAGCGAAGAAGGAUUCAGAAGAGCUGCAGAAAUUCAGAAACCUCACUUGUCUCAUAGCAACUGAUAUACGACAAAGAAAAUCACAUACCCAUAUUUUGUACAUGGCUUGAACCAAUUAUUGGCCUGGCAGUGCUUCCAGGAGAUUGACUCAAACUAGCUCUCUGCACAAUCUCACUGUCCACAUGGAAUGCUGCCUCUGAAAUAAUGAAAUUUUCCUCCAUCUUUGUCUCAUCAUCAGUUCCAUUGCAGCUGAUACCUUGAGAUAGUGAAGGAAUCCUAUUGCUUGGUCCCACAUUCCACAAAAGAAAAGGCUUCUUAUCUGCUAAGCUGCGCUCAGCACAUUUGACACUCAAACCGCUGUGCGGGGACCAAAUUAAUUCAGACAGGGAAUUAGAUGCUGCAUAUGUCAUGUCGAUUAUUGAUGCUGCAUUUACACCUGCACCAGAAUUUUCCUUCAACUUUGUCCUGAUGCAGUUACUGGAACAUCCAAGGGAAAGCCCCAAAUCCAUGUCGCCAUUGUCAGCACUCAUCACACUCAAGAAACUGUGGUGGUCAGUUAAAUCUGAAAUUUGACAAAUUGAUCCAGUCAGACGUGACAGUUGGGAUCAAAGAAAAUAACAUUUGUACAAUCAACUUCUAUCUGUCAGCAAGUUUCAACACCAUUACAGAAUCUGUUUACAACCCAGGUUAACAAAUAUUAUGAGGUAAAUUCUAGUACAACUUAAUUAUACUUCUGAAGUACCUCUUACAUGUCUUGCGGCGAAGACACUGGAUGAAUCUAACUGGUACACUCCUCCAAAAGCUACAUAUAACUAAUUCAGGCCAUAUGGAGGGAGUUCAUGAUAACAUACGUAACAUAGAAUGACACUAAACUAGACUUAUUGGAAGAGGAUCGAUGUGGCUAACCCCAGACAUCAGUGACAAGAUUCUCAUUCAGUUGUAUAUUCAGAAAAUAUAGGGUCAGGAUGUGGAUAUAAAUUACGACAUAGAGAUCUAAAACUACUAGUACUUAAAACUAUAUAACCAAAACUUGCAAAAUGUACUCAGGUUUGCUUAGGUAAAUCCUUGGUGGAGGCACGCACUAGAUGAUUUAUCAGAAACUACAAAAUCCAGGGUCACUGGAACAUGAGUCCUAACUGAUUCUUGUGAAACCCUCGAUUUAAAAUCCGUGACAAAUUGUUCCAGAAUUUCAUUCUGUUUGAAAAAUCAAGUUCAAAAACCAACUUGACUUGUGAACAUCUAUAUUCCAGACUUCAAUCAUUCAGCAAGAUGAUAGUCAAUGGCUACAGUUUUUUGGCUGUAGAGCCAUGCUGAUAAGCUCGCUUAUUAUAUUUGCCUCCCCUUCUGAAGUAAACCCAAAUAGGUAGUCUCAUAACAAUAGUUUGGAAGUUAAUUCUACAUUUCAAAUCAUCCCACAUUGAAUAUAGCUUAUAAUUUGACAGACAGCGAUAGCCAUAGCAUCGCUUAGUGUUCGAGUAAAUUGAAUACAGCUUACAAUUUUUUCAAACAACCAAAUUGUCAAGUAAAUAAUGCUGCUAUUAUCUGGAUUUUAGUCCCUAUUCAAGGAAGCAAUAUCUUUUUACCAAAUUGAUCCAAACAGGAUGAUUCCUUAACAAAAAGCAGCCCACAACAGCAAGUUGAAAUAAUUCCAUCACUGAUGCAGUCUGUUCAGUAGUGAGGAAAGAACUAGUAAAAUUUUGAUUAUCCAAUACAGGUAACACCCAAGAUGAGUUGCAUAGAAUUCUCUAUCUAGCACAAAACCAUACUUGGAACAUAUACCCCAAGCUCGAGAUAAUUUUCAUAGCUCUCAAUAGUCAGACAACAAUCAAAGAGAAGAAGACAACAAAAGCAGCAUUUUUCUGUAGCACUCACAAGGUAGGGAUAACCACUAAUCCAAACAAGAAAACAAGCCAAGCCCACGAACCUUUCAAUCCUGAAAUUGAUGUAAAAAGCCGUUUCCAGUAUUACACCGUCCAGGAAAACAAGGACUUGAUUAGCUGCUCAAAGCCUCAAACAAUGGGGUACUUGAUGAUUUUAUGCGUACAAUAAAAGCUUAAAGUCAAAAAAGCUUGCACAGGCGAUGACGUUUUUUGAGAAACUCAAACCAAGAUACAGAGACGGAUAAAGAUUCUGUUGCUGAUUACAAUGUAGGGAGUGAAUCUCACUCGCCUGCCUGGCGUCCUACUAAUCCCAGUUGGAACUUGGAACACUAGAAAACAAAACAAGAGAAGGUCUGAAUUCUGCUGCUCCCAACUUCAUCAAACCAGUGGUUCAUCAGAUGCCACGUGGACCAUUGCAUGCCACUUGCCACUCUGUGAGUUAACAUGGGAUUCUUUCUUUCUUUCGUUGAGCAGUAUUUGAACCUGCUUUCCCCUUGUGAUUCGCAACUAAUCUACAUCUGGGAAAUUUUAGCAGCAGAAGCAUAUUAGGAGCUCUCAUGCUGCCAUUUCAAGUAGUCGUGUGAAAGAAUCACGUAAGUAACUCUGAUGCCAUUUUUGUACGAUGAUUAUUAUGAUUAUUUACCCGUUUUAGCAGUAGUAAUCACCCCGAGCCAAAUCUCAAGAAGAAAGUAAAGUACGACAGAAUCAUAUUAUUGACCUGUUUUAGCAGUAGCAAUCACCCCGAGACAUAUCUCAAGACGAGAGCAACUACUACAGUAGUAAUAGUAAAUUGAAUGUAGUCUUCUGUCACCCUUUAGGGUCGAGAGAAGGUUCGCUGAGUCAAAGUUCUACUUGUGGACUAAAUUAAUCCGCCGCACUCAUUUGUGGACUAAAUUAUUCCGCACCCUUUUUUGAGUCCACCUACGUGAAAAUGCUUACUCUAAUUCUAAUCAAAUAGAUACAAAUAUAACAAUUUCUAAAAUUAAGAAGGUGGGUUAUGCAUGAAUUUGUUUUUGUCAUUUAAGUCGUACGUACGUAAUUUAGUAUAAAAUUUUUAUAAUUUUUUAUAUAUGAUAAUUUAAUUUGAAUUUUGAAUUCAAAUUUUAUGCAUUCAAACUAUCUCGUACAUGUCCUGUUCGUGUAACAAAAUGUUUUCGGCAUUUUGUGAAGCCGCAUUUUAUACCGCUCGAAUGCUGAUCAUACAAGAUAUGGAGAAGUCAAAGGUGAACUAUUAAGAUGAGGAAUUCUGAAUUUGUUUUAUGUUAAUUUGUUGUCACGGUAACAAAAAGCCAAAAAAAAAACCACAAAGAGGAACGGAUGAAGGUAACAAAAUAUGACCAUCUUGAUUAUGAUUAUUAUGGUUGGAGUUUACGAUUGACCAAAAAAAAAAUUAUCAUGAUCCCAAAAAAGACUAUAUUAGUAUUUUUUUUUUUUUAAGAGUGACAUGUCCCAAUAUUUGUUUUUGACAGGAUUAACAUCUCUGCUUUAAUUAAUCAUGUCCCAAUAGUAGGGGUAGGCGCGGGUAGGCAUGGCCAUGGUUCCACUUGGAACCGGGAACCGGACCGGAACCGAACCGUUUGGAACCGGACCAGAACCGGAACCAGAACCGUGGAACCAGAACCGUAGUAGAACCUUGGAUAAAGGUUCCGGUUCUGGUUCUCUAAAAAAUAGAACCAGAACCAGAACCGCCGGUUCCAGAACCGUUAAAAAAUUUAAAAAUAAUUAAUAUAAAAAAUAAUAAAAGUAGAGGCAUCAUGAUGACCAAGGUCAUCAUGAUGCCACCACAAUUUUUGCUCUCAAUUUUUGCUCUCGAGGGCUCCUCCUGACUUGCACAAAGGUCCUCAGGCUCUCAACGGAAGAAAGAAACAAAGCAAAGGAUAGAAAAAAAACAAGAAAGGUGGCUGCCUGCUAAAUUUGACAAAUUGGGGGUUAGGGUGAAUUACAAGUUUACAAUGUUACAAUUCAACGUUGUAAUUUUGUCCAAAUUUUCAAUACAACGUUACAAAUUUGGAACGUUACAAUACAACGUUCCAAAUUUUUAAUUUCAUUUUGUCCUAUAAAUAAGACUUGAAAUUUUAUUUUCUACUACACCAAAAUCAAUCUUCUCUCUUCCAUCUCUAAACUACUCUCAAUUUCUUCAUCUAUUAUCUAUUUAUUAUUUCGUACUUUGUAGAAUAAUAAUAAAAUUAAAAUAUGAUAUUUAUUUUGUAUUUAUUUUUUUACAUUUUAUUUAAAAUUUUAAAUAUAUUGUUAUAUUCGUAUUAAAAUUGGUAAGGAUAAGAAAUCAAAUAAAAUUGUAUAUAACCAUACGGAACCGGAACCAGAACCAGAACCAUAAGGAAUCGAAAUCAGAACUAUGCGGUUCUGGUUCUACUUUUUUGAAGAACCAGAACCGCCGGUUCUGGAACCAGAACCAGAACCAUCUUAUAUGGUGCGGUUCUGGUUCUACCCCUUUGAAGAACCAGAACCGGCGGUUCUGGAACCAGAACCGUUGGUUCUGGAACCGUGGCCAUGCCUAGGCGCGGGUCGGGCACCCGUCCCAUUCACCAUUUGGCUGACUUGACCCACAUCUUGCGAGUCAGCCAGCGGGUACCCGUUGAGAUAGGGUCGGGCCAGCAGGUACCCGUCCCGCCCCAUUUAUCAUUUAAUUUUUAAAAAAAAUGAUUUAUACCAAAUUAAUUUUAUAUUUUUCACAUUCAUUUAAGAUUUAAUAAAUUUUUUUUUUCUAAAAAAAGAUUUCCCACCAAGAAACAAGCACGUGAAGAGUAUAUAAGAUAAAGGAAAAAAAUUAAAAAAAUUCAAAAUCAAUAAAAGUUUGAAAUAAGUAGCACAAUUUUUAAUAUAUAUGUUCAACACAUUAAUUAAAUUUUUUCUAUAAAAUAUAAGAUCAUGGUCUCUACAAAUGAAUCUUGUAAAUAAACUAUAGCCUCUCAUAUUUGUAAUGUAAUUUGUUCAAUAAAAUUACUUAUUUAGUUUUAACUUAUUAUUUUAUAAUGUGUGUAUAAAAAUAAAAAAAUAUAUAUAUGCAGGGCGGAUCGGGUACUCGCAGUUUUUAAAUAAGGAAAACCGCGAUCUUGGGCAUAUAUGUAGCAAAGCAGUUUUUUUUCCGGAAUUUCAGCGGUAAAUUGAGUAUUUUCUAGUUAUUUUUUUUUUUCUAUCAAAUAUCCAGAUCGUUAGUUAAGGCACCUUAAUCAUAUUCAACCUAGCACACGAAUUAAUAAUUACUAUCAUCUCUUGCAUUUGUACACUUUUCUUAAUUAAAUUUAUUUUUUCGAAAAUUAACAUCUCGAUCACAUUUUAACAAAUAUCAAAGAAUCCUUACUCUAUUGAAUUACAUUUCGUGAGGGGAGGACCGUCAAGUUCAAGGUUCAUGGUUCAAAUCCUUGAUAGUUGGGGGUGGAAAGAGUAUAAGGAGGAUUAAAAGAAAAGAAUCCUUACUCUAUCGUAAAUAAAUCAUGCCAAAAAAGUAAUUUCAUUUUCCAGUUGUGAUAUGUUAUUAGUAUUAUUUUGCUUACAACUUCCCAUCGGGGAUAAUUCAUGAACAUAUGCAAACGGCACAUUGCAAAGCUUUGAUGGGCAAUUUGGCAACUUGACAAGAAAGACGAAGAGCAACACAAGAAUUUGGAAAGCUUGUCUUGUGUUUUUCUACUCUAAUCUCAAAAGAAUGGCAAGACAAUUAUAUGUAGAAAAAUCACUAAAUAUGGUCGAAAUUGAAGGUUGGAACACAGAUUGAAAUUCUCUUCUAAUGCAAGCCUUAAUGUCAGAAAAAUUUGCAGGUCUUUUUUUUUUUUUUUUUUUCCUGAAUCCUUUUUUCUUCUUAAGCUCAUCCUUGAAAAUGCAGUCAAAACAUACGGUGGCGGAGUUAGAAAAAAUUCUCAGUGUGGGCAAAAAUAACAUUAAAAUUUUUUACCAACUUUUCUUUUUUUAGUUUUGUAAGCAGAAAAAUAUUCAUCAACAAGUUGAAAUGAAAAAUCUUUUUUAGCUUACUUCAAAUGAAAUUUUGUGGUUCAUAUAUCUUUUUAGAAUAUUAGUUCAUGAAUCAAGUUAGAGGACCAAAUGAUUCUUUCGCUUCCUUCGUAAGAAAACUCCAAAAGUACACUUGAGAUUAUAUCAAAAUUCUACGGGCACUGUAGAAAUUUAAGGAGGCUCCACAAUCCUCACCUCAAACAUAUACAUACCGUUCUGAGAGGGGACCAACAUUUUCCCAUUAUCCUAAGAGUUUAAUGUCCAAUCUUUCACUAAUAUUAACAACCAGACUCACUAAACUAAUUGGUUGGGGGUUGCACUGUAUCUAUCCAUCUAUCUAUAUCUAAUGGAGACAACUCAGGAGAAAUGAACCACGAAUUUGAUGUUGUAGAAGCGUCCGCAAACUAGGGUUCUUUUUCAUCAUAAAGGGCUUGACAAGCUUUGCUGCUUUAGGUGUUUCAUCAUCAUAAAGGCCUUGUUUUGAAAACAUUCCAUCAAAUAUCAUGUCCAGUUCUGGAUGCUUGUUGUGAUCGCAGCUUAAACAAUGCUGACAAUUACCCUUUGAGCUUUAUGCUGAUCCGUCAUCCAAGAGGUGGUUGUUCCCCAUCUAAUGGACAAAAGAUGAUUUAUGACCUGAUUACCGGAAGACUCGUAGGAAAUCAGAAACACCUAAAGAUCUUUUACAACAUUAGCUGUUUGGCUUGGGAUUUUCCUUGAAUUGGUAACAAAAGUUGGCAUGAAAGAAGAGAUGCAACUGACUAGAGUAGAGGCUCGAGAUAGAGACGAGUACCAAACUUUAUUUACAUUUCGUCUUAACAAUUCAUUGAUCAAACAAGUCUUUAACGGAGUAAUGCUUUAUUAUUUCGAAGUGAUGACUUUUCUUUCUAGGUAUAGAGAGUAGAGGUUAUGUGACUAGGCUUUUUUGUUUUGGAAGACUAUUGAGUCCAUAGAUUCUUUUCUCUGGUAGGCACCGUUUCACUUUGGCUUUGAAGGAAAGAGAAGGAAAGAAAAGGAAAGAGCUCUAGUGAAAAAGAAAAGAAAGGAGAGUAAAGGAAAUUCGAGUCCAUCCAUCUUAUUUGGAUUACGGAAAGAGGGUAAAGAAAAUCAUUAUGCGUUAGUUAGUUACGUUUUUGUUUAUAGUUUAAAAGUUAAAUUUAUAAACAUAUCAUCGGUAUUUUUUAUAAAGAAAAUUUCAAAAAAAUUUUUAAAGUAAUUUUGGUGUCCCUUCUCUCGAUUUCCACCCACUUUUGGACAAAAAAUAUACUGAUAAAAAAAAUAACUAAUACUUAUCACUCCCUUUUUCCUUCCAAUCCUUUCCUCUCCCUCCUAAAAAAUCAAUCAAACAAUAAAAAAUUUUAUCCUUCGAUUCCCUUUUCUUUCAGUCCCAUUCCCUCGAAACAAACCGUGCCUAAAAUUAGUGUACUAAGGCUGAUAAAUCUACUACAUCACUUGGCUCUUGGGCACUUUGGUGCAGGACUACAAAAGUUCGAUGGGUCAGAUUCAUACCCAUUACAUCUGUUCCACAACAUGAUCGGAGCAUCAUCAUUCAUUCGUCAAAUUGACAUGAUUGAGCCCGUUUAAAAAUUUUAGUUGGACUAAUCUUCGGUCUUCACUUUAUUCGGCCCAAUGUAAAAUAUUCCUGCGUGCUGCAUGCACUGUGCCCACUCCCAUUAUUAAUUGCAGAUAUCCAUAGCCCAAGGCAACCCAAAAAAGGGGAUAAAUUGCCAGGCAGGCAAGAGGCACCAGAAUCUUCUACACUUUCGGUCAAGACGCUUCUGCUUCGGCUACUGCAAUUCAGUCGGAGUUAUAUAUAUAUAUAUAUAUAUAUAUAUAUAGUAGAAGUAAACCCUACAUAGGGUUUUAGUAGCAUAUAAUAAUCACCGUCACGCCCCCUUCCUGGGAGCUUUAGAGAGGUGAGAUUUUGGUUUUGCACAAGCCAUCCAACCCAGCAUAUAUGCUACUAGUACUACGAUUCUGUUAGCUACGCACUGCACUGGUGGUGUUGGGUGGCUUGUGCAAAAUCCACAAUCUUUUCCUCUUUCUCACUUUAUUUUUUUUUUUUUAUAAUUGUCCAACGCGGCAAAUCCAGUGAUUGUGAAAAAGGUAAAGCUGUUUCAGUAUUUUUUUUUUUUAAAUUUUUUCUGAUUAAUGUGUGUCCAGGUGAGUUGUCGGACUUGUAGGUUUGAAGGAAGCAGGAUGAUUUUGACGGCAUAGAUGUUCCAUUGAUUUGUGGCCUUUAUUCUAUAGGUACUGAUAAAUUUGGAGUCCGGCGCUGUUCUGUUCUCUGCUUGUAUGACGGGAUGUACUUUUUAAUAGUCCCUAUCUCUGUUAGUGGUGAUUAUAUUUUGUAAGCAAUAAUCGGAUGCAUUUUGAGAGUCGAGUACUCAAUUCAGAAACAUUUUGAUAUAGAUUCAGUCAAUCUUCUUUUUUCUGAUCAACCAUUUGAACAAAUUGUGUUUUGUAAGCUCAUCAUUUGCAGAUCAGCUAGGCCAUCUGGUUCCUUUGCUGCGGCUCUUUUUUCCAAGAAAAUUACGACGAAGAAGGAUCCGGGUUGUUUACCUGGAACCGCAGACUACAGUUGACAGUCAGACCUGGCCCAGGAGAUUCAAAUUUGCAUAGGACGGCUCGGGUUUUUUUUUUUUUGGAGACUCUUAUAUGAUAAAUCAAGAAAUUAAUUGUGUGGUGCGAUCGCAGCAGGCACCGGCCCCUAAUCCGACGAAGACGGCUAAACUUUUCUUUUCUAUAGAACAUAUUGUUCGCCACUAUACACGCAUUUCAACGAUGAGAUAUACGUAUGUCAAGAUUCACAGUAACAUCUUUCAAGAACAAAACAGCUGCAAAUAACUCUUCCCAAAAAACGAAAAAGUAGGCAGCUGCAACCGGACAACGUUUGCGUAUUUAAGGAAAAGGUCCUACGGUUUCCGGGAAUACAACUAAUUUCCUCUCCUCUCCUCCUGUCAGCUCUUUGGCCUGCUGCAACUAAUUUCCUCUCCUCUUGCCAGCUCUAUGGCCCGCUGCAACUAACAGAACCUUU